rnacentral:misc_RNA from 1 species
UGCCAGCAGUAGUCUCUAACUGUCAAUGCCAGGUCCGGUUUGCCCCUGUGUCUGCAGCUGACCUGGCAGUUGGGGCUGCAGCUGCGCUUGUGAGCCCCCCCUGUGAUUGUAGAGAUGUACCUGAGGUUGGGGUUGGGAGGUCUGCUGGACUGAUGACUGCAACUGCACUUGUGGGGGCUGCUGCGGCUGUGGGUGGAUUUGCACUUGGGGUUGCGGUGGCUGCGAGUGGGCCUGUAAUUGUGGGAGUUGCUGCAGCUGCGGAUGGACCUGCACUUGGGGCUGCUGUGGCUGAGGGUGCAGCUGCGUCUGAGAGUGCACCUGCACUUGUGGGAGCUGUUGUGGCUGGGGGUGCAGCUGCACUUGAGGUUGGAGGGAAUGCUGUGUUGGCGAAUGCAACUGCACUUGAGAUUGCACGGGUUGCUGUGGUUCAGUAUGCAGCUGAAGUUGGGGUUGUGCUUGUGGUUGCUGUGGCGGCUCUUGUUCUGUCUCCUUUGGUUUGGGGGCUCCAUUAUUCAUCCUUGCUCGAGCCUCAGCAAACAUCCUUUGUUGCUCAGCAACAGCUUCUUCCUCUGUCAUCUCAAUCCCAG